GACGAACGCUGGCGGCGUGCUUAACACAUGCAAGUCGAACGGAAAGGCCCUGCUUUUGUGGGGUGCUCGAGUGGCGAACGGGUGAGUAACACGUGAGUAACCUGCCCUUGACUUUGGGAUAACUUCAGGAAACUGGGGCUAAUACCGGAUAGGAGCUCCUGCUGCAUGGUGGGGGUUGGAAAGUUUCGGCGGUUGGGGAUGGACUCGCGGCUUAUCAGCUUGUUGGUGGGGUAGUGGCUUACCAAGGCUUUGACGGGUAGCCGGCCUGAGAGGGUGACCGGCCACAUUGGGGCUGAGAGACGGCCCAGACUCCUACGGGAGGCAGCAGUGGGGAAUAUUGCACAAUGGGCGGGAGCCUGAUGCAGCAACGCCGCGGGCGGGAUGACGGCCUUCGGGUUGUAAACCGCUUUCGCCUGUGACGAAGCGUGAGUGACGGUAAUGGGUAAAGAAGCACCGGCUAACUACGUGC
rnacentral:rRNA from 1 species